rnacentral:rRNA from 1 species
UACGAAGGGGGGCUAGCGUUGCUCGGAAUUACUGGGCGUAAAGGGCGCGUAGGCGGAUAUCUAAGUUGGGGGUGAAAUCCCGGGGCUCAACCUCGGAAUUGCCUUCAAAACUGGAUAUCUUGAGUUCGGGAGAGGUGAGUGGAACUCCGAGUGUAGAGGUGAAAUUCGUAGAUAUUCGGAAGAACACCAGUGGCGAAGGCGACUCACUGGCCCGAUACUGACGCUGAGGCGCGAAAGCGUGGGGAGCAAACAGG